UGUCUGUUCCAAUCCAGGAUGAAAACUAUGCCACCGAAGUCUCACAGCACCUGGGCAGCGAAGUGCCACUUAAACCCGCUGUGAUGCACAGACCUUGCCCUGGCUGUCUGCCCAGGGCUGAAUUUCACCCAUUCAGAGUGUGCUAAGCAGAUGCUACCCUGUAAUAAGAGGAAACAGAAGCAAAGACGGAAAGAAUGUUACUUAAACCAAUGAACAGAUGCAGAGAGUGGAAACACAGCAAAGCAAACGAAUGGAUCCUGUGAGUAAAUAACCUGAAAGCAAAUGGGGGGGAAAACCUCAUUAGGGUAAUUGUGGCUCUUGGGAUAAAGAUCAGGUUCCUGGUGCCUAGCCUGGCUGAGAUCCUGCCUGUUCCCUGGAUCCCAGACCUGGGAUUCCCAUGUCAUUCUCCUUAUUUUAUUCCGAGGGAAAAGGAUCCCCAAAGGAGGUGUGAGGAUCUUCGACUCUAAUGUCUGCAAGAAGCUUCAGCCACCUUCACAGGUGUUAUUAUAGCAGACCAAAAUCAAUGAAAGACAUAAUCAUCUUUCCUGAACAAUGGAAUUGAGUCAUGGAGUUUCUGAUAAACAUUCCCCAAACAUGAGAUGCUCAUAAGAUUUUUAGAUGAUGUAAGCAGGAUCAGAAAGAGCUCUCCCCAACAUCUAGUGAUGAACUGGAGAAGACCUCGGGAACCGAUCUUAUUUGCACAGACAUACCCACUCUGCAUCAUGGGGUUGCUUUGCCCAAAUGAUCACUUUUGACUGGUGUUGGAUUGCAAAUCACUUUGUGAUUGGGUGCAGGGGUAAUAAAUUGUUGCUGCCCUUGUUGUGUGAA